GAUGAACGCUGGCGGCGUGCCUAAUACAUGCGAGUCGAGCGAACGGACGAGAAGCUUGCUUUUCUGAUGUUAGCGGCGGACGGGUGAGUAACACGUGGAUAACCUACCUAUAAGACUGGGAUAACUUCGGGAAACCGGAGCUAAUACCGGAUAAUAUUUUGAACCGCAUGGUUCAAAAGUGAAAGACGGUCUUGCUGUCACUUAUAGAUGGAUCCCCGCUGCAUUAGCUAGUUGGUAAGGUAACGGCCUACCAAGGCAACGAUGCAUAGCCGACCUGAGAGGGUGAUCGGCCACACUGGAACUGGAACACGGUCCAGACUCCUACGGGAGGCAGCAGUAGGGAAUCUUCGGCAAUGGGCGAAAGCCUGACGGAGCAACGCCGCGUGAGUGAUGAAGGUCUUCGGAUCGUAAAACUCUGUUAUUAGGGAAGAACAUAUGUGUAAGUAACUGUGCACAUCUUGACGGUACCUAAUCAGAAAGCCACGGCUAACUACGUG
rnacentral:rRNA from 1 species